rnacentral:rRNA from 1 species
UACGUAGGGUGCAAGCGUUGUCCGGAAUUAUUGGGCGUAAAGAGCUCGUAGGCGGUCUGUCACGUCGGCUGUGAAAACCCGAGGCUCAACCUCGGGCCUGCAGUCGAUACGGGCAGACUAGAGUUCGGUAGGGGAGACUGGAAUUCCCUGGUGUAGCGGUGAAAUGCGCAGAUAUCAGGAGGAACACCGAUGGCGAAGGCA